GGGGCUGACCGGUUUAGACAGCGGGUAGAAGUGGUUUGUAAGCAUGUAGUGCGUGGUUGGCUUGCACUUAAAUCUCAGACAACAAUCAAUUAACUGGCGAAAAUAACUACGCUCUCGCUGCUUAAUCGAAUAACAGUAGAUUAAAGCUUUAUCUCGACACUAGGUGCCGAAACGAGACAUCACCCGGAUGCUGUUGCUCCGAAGCGGUCUGAUCAGGUGGUGCAGCAAUAUCGGAGAUAGUUUAAAGGAAACCUCGGACUUUAAGCAAAAAUUUAGAGGAUAAGGAAAGAGUUGGUAGCUUCGGUCUUGCUCUCUCCCGACAAUUAAAGCGAAGAUAAACAUGUAGAAAGCAAAUUAAUUCCUCGUUUGGACGAGAGUUCGAAUCUCUCCAGCUCCACAA
rnacentral:tmRNA from 1 species